UUGAAAGGGAAACGAUUGAAGUCAGUCGUACCGGCGGGUAAUCAGCCUUUCGGGCAUGAUUCUGUGGAGCGUGAGGAGUUAAACGCCUUCAUGCCUGCAUAUUCGUGCUCUUGGGUGUACUUGCUCGUGUGGUUGGUUAACAUCAAUUUUGGUUAUCAUAAAAUGGCUGGAGGAAUGUAGCUUCGAUUUCGAUUGAAGUGUUAUAGCCUUCGGCAGAUGUGAUGAUCGGGAUUGAGGAUUGCAACGGAUACCCUUCGGGGCUACCUGCCUGAUCUCUGAUCGUUGCUCUGGUGCCGAAAGCGUGCUUACGGUUAUCAAAGUCGAUGGUCAAUAGGUUAGAAUGGGUUAAAUUCGUUAAGGAUGUUGACGUA
rnacentral:rRNA from 1 species